AAUGGAACAAUGAGUAACGCAGUGCUGUACAUUCAGGUGGCGUUUGUGGUUCUGGGCACCGUAGCCGCCCAAGGAGUAUUCAAUUGUCAAGAAGUAGCACCGGCGCAGAGAGUCCCCUGCGGUGUUACAGGCAUCCCCUUUGAUCAGUGUAGAGGUAUGGGCUGCUGCUAUGACACAAGUUUCCCCGGAGCCCCCGUGUGUUACACCAAAGCAGCACAACCAGUAGUAAUGGUCGCACCACCACCAGGGCCAAGCGAGGCCGAAAAACUGCAAGCGCUGUGCUUGAAAUGUGCUCAACUUAGAUCGCAGGGUCUCCUGGGUGGUCUCCUGACUGAUGUUACUGAUAUUCUAUUUGGAAAUAAACAUCCGGAGUGCGCUCCAUGUGGUCACGGUGGACUUCUGAAACGGGAAUCUCCUCUCUAGAAUAUCGGAGGGAUCACUACGAAAGCAUGGCUGAAGACUCCUACAGAGAAACCAAUAUAAGCUAUGUGUGUAGGUGUAGCGCAUAUUACUCUAUGUCUAGUACAGCAAUAUAUAUGUAUGUUUAAUUGAGUUUGUACCUGCACUAAGAUUGUCUACUAUGCAGAAAUGAAUGCAUCUAAUGCGUCAAUGAAUCAGGGUGUUUCUGUACUUGCUGAAAUAAUCAGUGUAAUUGAAUAAAAGAGUCUGCAUUAUGCAUUAUU